AUAUUUUAAAGUAAAAAUUACUUUCUUAAUAUCUUCAAUAUCAUGCUUUAAAAAUAAGCUAUUAAAAUA
rnacentral:tRNA from 1 species